rnacentral:lncRNA from 1 species
UCACCACCUUAUUCUUACCGUCGACGUUUGCCGUCACCAUCACCUUCAUCCCGUCGAUUCUUCACCGUCACCACCUUCUUCUUGCCGUCGACGUUUUUCCGUCACCAUCACCUUCUCCACGUCGAAUCUUCACCGUCACCACCCUCUUCUUGCCGUCGACGUUUUGCCGUCACCAUCACCUUCUCCACGUCGAAUCUUCACCGUAACCAUCUUCUUCUUACCGUCGACGUUUUGCCGUCACCAUCACCUUCAUCCCGUCGAAUCUUCACCGUCAUCACCUUCUUCUUGCCGUCGACGUUUUGCCGUCGCCAUCACCUUCUCCACGUCGAAUCUUCACCGUAACCACCACCUUCUUGCCGUCGACGUUUUGCCGUCACCAUCACCUUCUCCACGUCGAAUCUUCACCGUCACCACCUUCUUCUUACCGUCGACGUUUUGCCGUCGCCAUCACCUUCAUCCCGUCCAAUCUUCACCGUCACCACCUUCUUCUUGCCGUCGACGUUUUGCCGUCACCAUCACCUUCUCCACGUCGAAUCUUCACCGUCACCACCUUCUUCUUACCGUCGACGUUUUGCCGUCGCCAUCACCUUCAUCCCGUCGAAUCUUCACCGUCACCACCUUCUUCUUACCGUCGACGUUUUGCCGUCGCCAUCACCUUCAUCCCGUCGAAUCUUCACCGUCACCACCUUCUUCUUGCCGUCGACGUUUUGCCGUCGCCAUCACCUUCAUCCCGUCGAAUCUUCACCGUCAUCACCUUCUUCUUGCCGUCGACGUUUUGCCGUCACCAUCACCUUCUCCACGUCGAAUCUUCACCGUCACCACCUUCUUCUUACCGUCGACGUUUUGCCGUCGCCAUCACCUUCAUCCCGUCGAAUCUUCACCGUCACCACCUUCUUCUUGCCGUCGACGUUUUGCCGUCGCCAUCACCUUCAUCCCGUCGAAUCUUCACCGUCACCACCUUCUUCUUGCCGUCGACGUUUUGCCGUCGCCAUCACCAUCUCCACGUCGAAUCUUCACCGUCACCACCUUCUUCUUACCGUCGACGUUUUGCCGUCACCAUCACCUUCAUCCCGUCGAAUCUUCACCGUCACCAUCUUCUUCUUGCCGUCGACGUUUUGCCGUCACCAUCACCUUCAUCCCGCUGAAUCUUCACCGUCACCACCUUCUUCUUGCCGUCGACGUUUUGCCGUCACCAUCACCUUCUCCACGUCGAAUCUUCACCGUCACCACCUUCUUCUUGCCGUCGACGUUUUGCCGUCGCCAUCACCUUCUGUGUAAUCUGCACGGGGGUACCUGGCGCAAUGCG